rnacentral:rRNA from 1 species
AUUGAACGCUGGCGGCAUGCCUUACACAUGCAAGUCGAACGGCAGCACGGGUGCUUGCACCUGGUGGCGAGUGGCGAACGGGUGAGUAAUACAUCGGAACAUGUCCUGUAGUGGGGGAUAGCCCGGCGAAAGCCGGAUUAAUACCGCAUACGAUCUACGGAUGAAAGCGGGGGACCUUCGGGCCUCGCGCUAUCGGGUUGGCCGAUGGCGGAUUAGCUAGUUGGGGGGGUAAAGGCCUACCAAGGCGACGAUCAGUAGCUGGUCUGAGAGGACGACCAGCCACACUGGGACUGAGACACGGCCCAGACUCCUACGGGAGGCAGCAGUGGGGAAUUUUGGACAAUGGGCGAAAGCCUGAUCCAGCAAUGCCGCGUGUGUGAAGAAGGCCUUCGGGUUGUAAAGCACUUUUGUCCGGAAAGAAAUCCUUGGCCCUAAUACGGUCGGGGGAUGACGGUACCGGAAGAAUAAGCACCGGCUAACUACGUG